GGCUAAUGUUACAGUUUAUUUUUGUCCCAUGACUUGUCACGUUAUGUUGCUGUUACUACAUCCUCACGAGUAGUGUUGGGAAGGGGAGACUCUUUGAUAAUGAAAGGGGUGAGGUCUGUUUAUUCUGUUACAGUCACCAUGGCUUGAUCCCUAUUAGUAUGGCUUUUUAAUGAUUGUUUUAGCUCUAACUUAAGCACUAAACAAAUAUUCUAAUUUUUAACUUGCAGGCAAAAUCAAAUUAGGUAUUUGAAACAGAACAUGGGUAUCCCCUGGAAUAGGAACAGUAUUCUCUUCUGACUUGAGUGCGAAUUUUUUUCUCUCCGUCGAUAGUUUGAUUUACUCUGACCAUUGGGCUUAAGAGCACAUAGUUCUAGCUUGUCUUCGGUUUGUCCUUGGACUCUGGCUGGGGAAGGUUAUUUUUAGAAGUAGGCUAGACAUGGCAUGUGAGAUGCUUUGGAGGUGGAACUUAAUCAGAUGUGAGUCCUGUGACCAGAGGCCCCUACAUCUCCGAAGUUUGAAUGCCUCCUGCUAGGUGAGGGAGGAGACUGUGCUGUAGGAUCUCCACAACUUCUGGACUUCGUCCUUUUUUGACCUCCUCAAAGGGAAAGGGCAAAAGAGCAUUGGGAGCUUUUAUAAAUGCACGUGUGUGCACGCCAGCCAUGCUGCACACUAUCCCCUGUUGUGACUUUACCAUGGGCCUGGUGCCAACACGUGCUAACUGCACACUGCUUGCACCACUAAUUUGGGACACAGAUGGCCCAGACGUGUUUGUGGCUCAGUGAAGGUGAGGGAGCUGCUGAGCUGCCAGUCCACAAAGAUUGAUGAAAUCUGAGAACUUCAGAGGAAAGAGCUGGCGUGGCACCAAGGCC